UGAAGGGUUUGAUCCUGGCUCAGAACGAACGCUGGCGGCGUGGCUAAGACAUGCAAGUCGAACGGACUGUUCAAUUUAUUGUUCAGUUAGUGGCGAAAGGGUUAGUAACGGGUAGGUAACGUACCCUGUGCUUUGGGAUAGCGUCAGUUACUUCGGUAACUUUCCGAAAGGGGCGGUAAUACCAAAUAACAUCAUUUGUCGAUAGGCGAAUGAUCAAAGAUUUAUCGGCACGGGAGCGGCCUGCCUCCUAUCAUCUUGUUGGUGGGGUAACGGCUCACCAAGGCAACGACGGGUAGCGGGACUGAGAGGUUGGCCCGCAACAUCGGGACUGAGACACUGCCCGGACCUCCACGGAGGGCUGCAGUAACGAAUAUUGUGCAAUGGGCGAAAGCCUGACACAGCGACGCCGCGUGUAGGAUGAAGUCUUUCGGGAUGUAAACUACUGUCAGGGGGAAGAAAGUGCGCUCCGGCGUAUUGAUCUAACCCAGAGGAAGUCACGGCUAACUUCGUGCCAGCAGCCGCGGUAAGACGAAGGUGGCAAGCGUUGUUCGGUAUUACUGGGCUUAAAGCGUGUGUAGGCGGAAAUGUAAGCGUUGCGUGAAAUCCCCCGGCUUAACCGGGGAACUGCGCAGCGAACUGCGUUUCUUGAGGCAAGUAGGGGUACAUGGAACUCUUGGUGGAGCGGUGGAAUGCGUAGAUAUCAAGAGGAACGCCAGUGGAGAAAUCGGCGUACUGGGCUUGUACUGACGCUGAGACACGAAAGCGUGGGGAGCGAACGGGAUUAGAUACCCCGGUAGUCCACGCCGUAAACGAUGCCUACUAGGUUGUGGUGGUUCUGACACCAGCACGGCCGAAGCAAAAGUGUUAAGUAGGCCGCCUGGGGAGUACGGUCGC
rnacentral:rRNA from 1 species